rnacentral:rRNA from 1 species
UACGAAGGGGGCUAGCGUUGUUCGGAAUUACUGGGCGUAAAGCGCACGUAGGCGGAUCGAUCAGUCAGGGGUGAAAUCCCAGGGCUUAACCCUGGAACUGCCUUUGAUACUGUCGAUCUAGAGUCCGGAAGAGGUGAGUGGAAUUCCGAGUGUAGAGGUGAAAUUCGUAGAUAUUCGGAGGAACACCAGUGGCGAAGGCGGCUCACUGGUCCGGUACUGACGCUGAGGUGCGAAAGCUAGGGGAGCAAACAGG